GUGCUCACUUUGGCAGCACAUCUACUAACAGUGGAACGAUAGAAAGAUUAGCACAGCCCUUGUGCAAGGAUGACAUGCAAAUGUGUAAGUUGUUCCAUAUUUUA
ensembl:snRNA U6 U6 spliceosomal RNA